AUUGAACGCUGGCGGCAGGCUUAACACAUGCAAGUCGAGCGGGGGAAGGUAGCUUGCUACUGGACCUAGCGGCGGACGGGUGAGUAAUGCUUAGGAAUCUGCCUAUUAGUGGGGGACAACAUCUCGAAAGGGAUGCUAAUACCGCAUACGUCCUACGGGAGAAAGCAGGGGAUCUUCGGACCUUGCGCUAAUAGAUGAGCCUAGGGCGGAUUAGCUAGUUGGUGGGGUAAAGGCCUACCAAGGCGACGAUCUGUAGCGGGUCUGAGAGGAUGAUCCGCCACACUGGGACUGAGACACGGCCCCGACUCCUACGGGAGGCAGCAGUGGGGAAUAUUGGACAAUGGGGGGAACCCUGAUCCAGCCACGCCGCGUGUGUGAAGAAGGCCUUAUGGUUGUAAAGCACUUUAAGCGAGGAGGAGGCUACUCUAGUUAAUACCUAGGGAUAGUGGACGUUACUCGCAGAAUAAGCACCGGCUAACUCUGUGCCAGCCGCCGCGGUAA
rnacentral:rRNA from 1 species